GAUGAACGCUGGCGGCGUGCCUAAUACAUGCAAGUCGAGCGAACAGAUAAGGAGCUUGCUCCUUUGACGUUAGCGGCGGACGGGUGAGUUACACGUGGAUAACCUACCUAUAAGACUGGGAUAACUUCGGGAAACCGGAGCUAAUACCGGAUAACAUAUUGAACCGCAUGGUUCAAUAGUGAAAGGCGGCUUUGCUGUCACUUAUAGAUGGAUCCGCGCCGUAUUAGCUAGUUGGUAAGGUAACGGCUUACCAAGGCAACGAUACGUAGCCGACCUGAGAGGGGGAUCGGUCACAGUGGAACUGAGAAACGGUACAGACUCCUACGGGAGGCAGCAGUAGGGAAUCUUGCGCAAUGGGCGAAAGCCUGACGGAGCAACGCCGCGUGAGUGAUGAAGGUCUUCGGAUCGUAAAACGCUGUUAUCAGGGAAGAACGGAUGUGUAAGUACCUGUGCAUAUCGUGACGGUACCGGAUCAGAAAGCCACGGCUAACUACGUG
rnacentral:rRNA from 1 species